rnacentral:rRNA from 1 species
GAUGAACGCUGGCGGCGUGCCUAAUACAUGCAAGUCGAGCGAACGGACGAGAAGCUUGCUUCUCUGAUGUUAGCGGCGGACGGGUGAGUAACACGUGGAUAACCUACCUAUAAGACUGGGAUAACUUCGGGAAACCGGAGCUAAUACCGGAUGAUAUUUUGAACCGCAUGGUUCAAAAGUGAAAGACGGUCUUGCUGUCACUUAUAGAUGGAUCCGCGCUGCAUUAGCUAGUUGGUAAGGUAACGGCUUACCAAGGCAACGAUGCAUAGCCGACCUGAGAGGGUGAUCGGCCACACUGGAACUGAGACACGGUCCAGACUCCUACGGUAGGCAGCAGUAGGGAAUCUUCCGCAAUGGGCGAAAGCCUGACGGAGCAACGCCGCGUGAGUGAUGAAGGUCUUCGGAUCGGAAAACUCUGUUAUUAGGGAAGAACAUAUGUGUAAGUAACUGUGCACAUCUUGACGGUACCUAAUCAGAAAGCCACGGCUAACUACGUG